rnacentral:snoRNA from 1 species
AACCCCUGGCCAUGGGCAAAGAGACACAUGAUUGGUGGUAGUGCUCUUAUAUCAGUCAGGGGCAAAGCAGACUGGCAGCCUUUGUUCAUCUUAGCUUGAUGCCUGGAUUGUGGCCAGAGCUGUUUCAUGCCUAGGGCACAUAA